rnacentral:lncRNA from 1 species
UAAUAAUUACACUACUAAAUCCCUGACACUGUGCUUACCAGGCGCUCUGUGUAAGACCUCACUUAAUCCUCAUAUUAUUCCUGUUUUACAUGUGAGGACAGAGACCCCAUAGAGGUGACUUCCCAUAUUCAUCUGACUCCCUGCUCUGAUGGCCUGUCACCCACGGGCACUUACUCAGGCGGACCCUGUCCACCUUCUGACACCGGGAAGCAUGAUGCGUAUCUUGGUGGCCAGAUCUUCUUUCUGCUCAUCUGGGCUGCCAGUGUCCCGCCCACUCUUGCACCCCGCCAGGCUGUGGGGGUGCCUUCCUGCGGCCAAUGUGUCCACCAGAGUUCACAUGCUGAGUCUUAACCCUGGAGCUCAGAGUGGACUGCAGAAGCACCCAACCUCGGAAGGUGCGAUUUACACGUUAAACUCCGUCAUGCUGCAGAGUUGGAAUCAUUCGGUAGAAGCUGCACUUGGAACGUUGAAUCUGAUCCUUCCUGGGUUGGUGACAUGUGGGAGGUCCUGUUUUGCACAGCUGGGCAGUUCUCUCAGCCCUGCCACCACCAGGGGAGCAAGUGACCCUCUGCAGCGUGCCGUGCUGCUGAGCGGGCUCUUGGGUGGAUCCGGGGCAUUUGAUGCAUUUCGACUCAGUGUAUUUUCAACUUACAAUGGACUUAUUGGGGGUGACCCCUUCAUACUCAAAGGGCUUCUGUAUUUGGUGUCUUUCCAGAAAUGAUUAAGCGGUCACCAGGGUGGCCUCACCCUACAAGACUGGUGUCCUAAGAGAGACAGCCAUGUGAGGGCUCAGGAGGGGAUGUCCAUGGAGGGGCCUCAGAGGAAACCAGCCAAACCUUGAUCUCAGACUCCCGGCCUCCAGGACUGGGUUGUUGAAGUCACCCAGACGAGGGCACUUGGUCAUAUGGCCCAAGAAGAUGGGCUUUCCACCCCCCCCACCCCCACAGGUUGAGGCCAUUAGCUCUCAAUCUCUGGUCAACACCAGAAUCACCUGGAGGCUUACUUAAUGGGCAGAUGCAGGGGCCCGGGGCAUGGCCGAAACCUGCAUGCUCACUGGUGCACGCUACUGAUGCUGACACUGGACCUCGGGUGGGAUACCCUGCCAUGGGACGACAGGGACUUGCCGGGCCACCCUCAUGUCCCUAGUCCCCACAGUCCUGCCGGCUCCUGCCAUCUCAACUUCAAAACGAUGAGGCUGAGUGUCUUUAGACUGUUGGUUUUGCCUGCAGGGCCCCGGGCAGGGUCAGGGGGCCCUGUGAUCCUUGCAGGGCAUGCUGUGGCCAGGAGGCCACCGGCUGAGGAUGUGGCGGAGGGAGCAGCUUUCUCUCUCCCUCAGGACACUUUGUAAAGUCAGAAAGCGGGAGGGGGUGAGAGAGCCACGCUAGGCGCAAUCCAACACGGAGACCCUUGUUUGGUGACGGAGGGGUCAGACAGGGGACAGGGGGCUG